GGAACCCGGGACUCUAUGCCUUGGCUGCCAAGGCCAUCUUCAGACACCAGGAAGCAUCACAGUCAAGGAAGGAUCUACUUGUUUUGAUCAGCUUUUAUGAAACCUAGCCUGGACAGCUUUAUGACCUGCUAAAUGGAAGGAAGAGACUUUUUGCAAGAGAAGAUAGCAAACAUGUUGUUCAAAUAGUUGGACUCCGGGAGGUCCAGGUGGACUCUGUAGACCUACUGUUGGAGGUGAUUUUGAAGGGGGGGAAAGAACGUAGCACAGGAGCUACUGGAGUCAAUUCGGAUUCCUCUCGAUCUCAUGCUAUCAUCCAAAUCCAAAUUAAAGAUACAACCAACAGGACAUUUGGAAGGAUAUCAUUCAUUGACUUGGCUGGCAGUAAAAGGGCAGCUGAUGCCAGAUACUCAGAUCGACAAACAAAAAUGGAAAGAGCAGAAAUAAACCAAGGUCUUUUAGCAGUAAGCUACUAGCAUGUCUGAGGAAGCUAAAGGAAUGCAUUUGGGCCUUGGAUCAGGAUCACGCGCAUACACCUUUCCGGCAAAGCAAAUUAACUCAGGUAAAAGGAGCAGAAAGGCAACGGUAGUAGAUACUCCACUGGUGAGGACAAAAUGAAAAUUAAAAAACCUCAUGAUUCAGUAACUAUUAUUAAACCCUUGGGGAAAAAAAAAAAAAAAAGGAGAGA